rnacentral:rRNA from 1 species
CCUACGGGAGGCAGCAGUGGGGAAUAUUGCACAAUGGGGGAAACCCUGAUGCAGCGACGCCGCGUGAGUGAAGAAGUAUCUCGGUACGUAAAGCUCUAUCAGCAGGGAAGAAAAUGACGGUACCUGACUAAGACUCCCCGGCUAACUCCGUGCCAGCCGCCGCGGUAAUACGUAGGGGGCAAGCGUUAUCCGGAUUUACUGGGUGUAAAGGGAGCGUAGACGGCAGCACAAGUCUGGAGUGAAAUCCCGGGGCUUAACCCCGGAACUGCUGUGGAAACUGUGCGGCUGGAGUGCAGGAGGGGUAAGCGGAAUUCCUAGUGUAGCGGUGAAAUGCGUAGAUAUUAGGAGGAACACCGGUGGCGAAGGCGGCUUACUGGACUGUAACUGACGUUGAGGCUCGAAAGCGUGGGGAGCAAACAGGAUUAGAUACCCGGGUAGUC